GGCCCAGUGGUCUAAGUGGAAAGACGCCGGCUAGACAAGACUAUAUGUCCAGCAUGUCUGGCACUACGGUAUGAGGCCGGUGAUCUGGGUUCGAAUCCCAGCGGGGCCA